rnacentral:rRNA from 1 species
GUCUGUAGCCAUACUACCCUGAAUGUGUCCGAUCUCAUCUGAUUUUGGAAGCAAAGCAGGGUCAGACCUGGUUAGUACUUGGAUGGGAGAAAGUUCAAGUUCAAAAAAUA